UGUUGUUGGAGCAAGAGGAGAGGUUGCUGG
rnacentral:piRNA from 1 species